ensembl:lncRNA
GAGGGCAAGGCUCCUUUCACUUCAGCUGCUAGAUGGAUCUUAGAAUAUUGUUUAAAGGUUUCCUGAAGUCUAGUGUCCUACUGAGUCAUCUUCAUUUUAUUCGCAACUUUGACUUUUUGUCCAAUCUCCCUUUAAGGGGAAGACUUCGGUAAUGGCCAUAUGUAUUUCAUUUCCUAGUUUGCUUGUCCUCUCAAGGCCAAUAUCUGAAUCAUGUGCAGCUGGGUUAUUUAAAUCCUUCCUUGGCUUUUCCCAUUCUCUUAAACAUUCCCCCACGUGAGGGGCUUAAAGUUGAGUGAACUCAUUGGUAUGGAUCUGGUCAUCCAGGAUGGUAACUAACUAACAAAAUCCAUAAUUCUGCAGAUUUCUUUUGUCUGUCUUCCUGAGGUUUUGGAAUCCUUAAUUAUAGCCCUUAACUUAAAUUUGACUUCCAGAUCAGCCUUUUAGCCGAGCAAUUUUGAGGGCAUACUGUGAAAUGUAACCCUUUCCUGAGAAAAACGCUGGGAACAGGUAGUUGACCUAGCAGGUCUGGGGAAGGAGAAGAAGGAGCAGGAGAGGUAUAAUUGGGUGUUGGAACAGUAAUAACCUCUGAGCAAAUCCAAGCACAGAAUAUCGUCAGCCCAGGACUGUUCAACCUGAGGCUAUUGCCAUAGAAGAAAUCACCGCGUACUACCACAAGCUGUUCCAGCCGGACCCCUCAGAUGUCGGGAGCCGUCACUUGUGUGUGGUUUCGGAGUAGGAAACAAAGACAGUUGGGAAGAUUCUUUUAGAACCUCAUCUGUUUUCUCCACGCUCACCUAGUACAAGACUCCUUCACCUCUCACGUGGACCACUGCCCCUCUGCCUGGACUCACGCUUCUACUCUGUGUCUUAUUAACACCAAGGAAAAGCAGCUCCUGGCAGGUGAGAGCUGGCUUGGCACUCCCAGCUGGGCCUUGGUGCUCUUCUGUUCAACAUAAACACAGCCUCGAACUCCAACAUCAGCCAAGGCCACUCUGUGACCCUGAUAGAUGACGACAAAAAGAAGACCACUCUGUGAUCAUGUCUGAACAGAGACAACAACAUAAACAAUGUCCAAACCACAAAAAUGACCAACGCGCCUUCCAUCCUGGCUGAAAAAUGUUACUCCUGCUUCUUUACCAAUCACAGUUUUAGCCUUCCUCUUUCUCCCACCUUCAAGAUGAGAUUUAUUAAGAAAUUCAGUCACAGUAUUCCCCCUGCUUCCUGAAUACAUUGAAUUCAGAGCAAACCCUACUCCUUGCAUCUUGUCCAGAAUCCCCUAACAUAAGCCCCAAUGCUGGCACUUCUAAGACCCUUUAGCUGAGAUGCUCCCACAGUUCCCCAUGAUGUCUUCUCCCUCACUGCAAGGAGGCAGUCAAGCCCUCUUGUUCAACCACAGGUGUAUUCCCAGUGGUCUUGGGCUGGAGGACACUGACAGUACCCAAAUCAGGUUAAGAUACUUUCUUACUCACCUCCUAUGACUCUCAAAGUCAAAAUCAAACCCUUACCCAACGUCUUCAUCCCUUGACGCUGCCCACCUCUCAGACCUCACUUAUUCACCCCCCCAGCAGCGUCAAGGAUCUGCAGUGAGCCAGGCACUUUCUUGGCACAGGAACAUUUCACACUGCUGUGUGAAGAAUGGAUUGGAGCAAGAGGCCAGGGCAGGGGGUAGGGAGACGGCUUACAAGGCUUGUUUAGUCCAGCGAGACGGUGGAGUGGAAUUGGAGAGGGAGAAGGGUAAAAUGCAAUGCCCAGCAUUAUGCUGAAUGAGCUCAGUCAGACUGAGAAAGAGAAAUACUAUACGAUCUCACUUAUAUACGGAAUCUAAAACAGCUCAACCCUGAGAAACAGAGAGUAGCGUGGUGGUUAUGCGGGGCUGAAGGGGUGGGGGAAAUGGGGAGAUGUUAGUCAACGG